UACGGGGGGAGCAAGCGUUGUUCGGAUUUACUGGGCGUAAAGGGCGCGUAGGCGGCCACCGCAAGUCGACUGUGAAAUCUCCGGGCUUAACCCGGAAAGGUCAGCCGAUACUGCGGGGCUAGAGUGCAAAAGGGGCAACUGGAAUUCUCGGUGUAGCGGUGAAAUGCGUAGAUAUCUGGAGGAACACCGGUGGCGAAGGCGGCUACCUGGACUGACAUUGACGCUGAGGCGCGAGAGCGUGGGGAGCGAACAGG
rnacentral:rRNA from 1 species